rnacentral:rRNA from 1 species
UGGCGGCAGGCCUAACACAUGCAAGUCGAGCGGUAACAGAAAGUAGCUUGCUACUUUGCUGACGAGCGGCGGACGGGUGAGUAAUGCUUGGGAACAUGCCUUGAGGUGGGGGACAACAGUUGGAAACGACUGCUAAUACCGCAUAAUGUCUACGGACCAAAGGGGGCUUCGGCUCUCGCCUUUAGAUUGGCCCAAGUGGGAUUAGCUAGUUGGUGAGGUAAUGGCUCACCAAGGCAACGAUCCCUAGCUGGUUUGAGAGGAUGAUCAGCCACACUGGAACUGAGACACGGUCCAGACUCCUACGGGAGGCAGCAGUGGGGAAUAUUGCACAAUGGGCGAAAGCCUGAUGCAGCCAUGCCGCGUGUGUGAAGAAGGCCUUCGGGUUGUAAAGCACUUUCAGUCAGGAGGAAAGGNUGUGAGUUAAUACCUCACAUCUGUGACGUUACUGACAGAAGAAGCA